rnacentral:rRNA from 1 species
UACGUAGGUGGCAAGCGUUGUCCGGAAUUAUUGGGCGUAAAGGGCUCGUAGGCGGUCCGUCACGUCGGGAGUGAAAACUUGGGGCUUAACCCCAAGCCUGCUUCCGAUACGGGCGGACUAGAGGUAGGCAGGGGAGAACGGAAUUCCUGGUGUAGCGGUGAAAUGCGCAGAUAUCAGGAGGAACACCGGUGGCGAAGGCGGUUCUCUGGGCCUUACCUGACACUGAGGAGCGAAAGCGUGGGGAGCGAACAGG